rnacentral:lncRNA from 13 species
CUUCGCGCGGGGCCCGACGGGGCGCACCCGGCGCCUCCCCCGCCGCCCCCCGCCGGCAGCAGCGGGCAGCAGCGGGCAGCAGCUGCCUCCGCUCCCCAAGCACUGGACGGGGCGCCCUGCUCCGAUGCUCCGCCGUGUUUACGUUUGCGGGGCCGUGGGGUUUCUUUCCUCGCCUGGCGGCAGCCCACGCGCGCGGCUGCUGCCCGGCUCUGCGUUCGGCUUCCUUUCCUUUUUUCUUUUUUUGGAGGGCCACGUUCAUUUAUGGAUGAGGCGGGAAAGCACUCCCUCAUGCAACAACGUGUGCAACCCCACACCCACGCGAGGCCGAGGCUGUGUGUACUCAUGCCCAAGGCAACACUAGGGGAAGGCGGCCAAAGUUUUCCUAAAAAGAAGACGGCGGGGGUUGGGAUUCCUUUCCUUUAGAAAAUAAACAAGCUGUUGGUCCCCCUGGAAAUGCCUUGAGCUCUCGCGCUCCUGGAAAGUGCAGGCAGGCUGGCUGCCCUUCGCUGCCUGCGGGGCAGCCAGGGACGCUUCUCCGCCUCUCGAGGAGAAGAAACGGGGUGGGGGAUGCCAAUGGACCCACACACACCUCCGGCUCUCCCCGGCCACCUAAUCCCCUUGACGAAACUACAUCUGGGCGUCUUGGCCGCUUCCCUGUGCCAAGCCACGUUCAAAAGAAGCCCCGUGCUGCUCCGGCAUUUCCUGGGCCAAGCUCCAGCCGCCCCCCCUCCACCCCCUACUCCUCCGUACCUCCCGCCGCUACUCACGCGGGGAAAACUCGCAGGAUUUGGCCCACGGCUGCCAGAAGGGGGGUGAGAGGCUCUAGGGGGAGCUCAAGGGGGAGCGAGACACGCCGGUUCCCUCCCUUCUCUCGCCCCCCGGAGACGAGCCAAUGCUCCCGGCUCGCGUGGCCGCGGUGGGGGUUUCAGUGAUGCUGCAAGGCAAGGAACGGGAAUAAAUGAUCCCUGGGUUUUAAAGCGGCAGCUCGAUAGUUUUAUUGCACAGUAAAAACUUCACGCGAACUAGCCAUACGUCUCUACGGGUAUUUAUAUACGUAUAUUUUCUGUACAUUCAUCCAAAUUGUGCCCUCCCUCCUCCCCAAAUUCUGGAUGUGUUGCUGGACCAAGGUCCAGAGAUGGAAUGGUGUGAUGGGAGAUGCUGUGGAGGGGAAAAAGUAUCAUAGGUCCCUGGAACCUUCCACAUGCCUCCUUGUCCCUCUCCUGUUAAACGCAGGUGAUGUGUAUCUGUCAUCGAUUUAAUAUGUCUUAAUUCAAAUAUAUACCCCGAUCAAUUUCUUUUUAUGAGAGGCUAUAAAACAAUGAAAAUAUUUUAUAGCUGGCUAAUAGGCAGCUGACCUGUGACUGUGGGGAGGGAGGGGUUGAUGGAGACUCACGUGGAAAUUCGCUCAUAUUUUUAGGACUAGCUGCAAUCGCCGGGAAGCGAAGGUGGCUGCCCGCGCAGGGACAAUUUUGAACACUGCCAGCUCCAAAAGAGCCGUGAAGAAUUUAAAGCCCAUUAACUUACCGACACCAGCUCAGGCCCAGGCUGCCGCUGCCCUCUGGGGCUGCAGCAGAGGGAGGCGUGCUGUGCUACCCCCACGGCCCCCACCCCACACCUCGACAGCACCCGUCGGGGGUCGGAACGCGCCCUGUUUCCGCGGCGGAGCCGGCUGCAGAGCCCUCCCGCAGUGCUCCGCUCGCCGGCAAACCUGCCAAGGGACUUCGGGGGAGGCUGCAGAGGCGGGGUGAAAGCCUGGAAGCCUUCAAAUUUAUUUCGUAAAGCUUCCUCUUUAAACUGAGAUCGGGCUAUCGGCUUUAGGAGGUGUUUAACUGUAAAACGCUGUGCUGUGAGCUGCAUUAUGUAAAUGUAUGCUAAUGAUCAUGAACACCAUUUACAAACAAUCGUCUUUAGUGCACAUCUUAUUGAUAGUUAGGGAGCGGGGAGCAAUAUUUUAUAACGUGUAAAACAUUCUUCUGGGGAGCCAUUAGAAAGGGAGCGCGAUUGACGCUUUCCUCGACAAGACCUCCAAGUCUCCUCAAAUAUGCUAAAAAAGCCUAUCCUCCCCCCGACCCGUCGCGGGUGACUUUCUACGCUCGUGGGGCUGCUUUGCUGCUCGGGGGAGCCUGUGGCACGGGUCCCUCCGCGAACAUGCGCCAUCGGACCUGGAUUCCGCCCGUGGCAGGAGGGAGCGUCCCGAGCCUCAGCCCCGUGGGGACCCACACGGGUAGGAAGUACCCCCGGUACGCUCCUCAUUGUCCCGUCAGGGGGAUAGCACGGAGGCACCGGGACCUCGGCCGGGAGCGGGAGGCUGCCCAGGGGCACGAAAGGGAAAGAGAGUAGCGAUAUGGCACUGAGACUCCUCACCACUCCUUUCUGGAGGGGUUCAGCAGAUGGGUAUUUUAUACCCUUAAAAAUUAAACUUCUCCUGUGCCAAAUGUCGUCGCUCUGUGCAUCCAAGCGGGAACCCGAGACUGACACAAGGAUUCGACGUAGGGGCUAGGGGCUGUCGGGGUCGGGACCCGCCGCGCCUUUGGGACAGAGACUCACGAGCAUAAGUUUCGGAACUGUCGUGUUCAGCGCGCACCUCGCCAGGGAAAGAGGGAAAGAGUGGCCAUCCCUUUUGGGGUUUGCUCAAAUAGGGACAAAAUAAGGAAAAAAACCCCAUCCUUCAAUCUAUCUAUCUAUCUAUCUAUCGAUCGAAAGAAAGAAAGAAAAAAAGAAAAAGAAAAAGAAAAGAAAGGAAGAGAUAAAGAGAGAGGCGGUCUCAGGAAACCCAGGCCAAAUUUUGCUCUGCUCUCUCUCCCCCCCACUUCCCCUCUCUCUGAACGUCACCGUUGGAAGAAGCUGUUGAGAUAAAUCAAAUAGUGACACUUUGACGGCUUUACUUGUAUAAGCAAUAUGGUUACCAUAUGGCAUUGUUAUUUAUGAAUGACAGCAUAAAUUGUAUUACAAAGUCCAUCGCGCUUUAUUGGGACGCUUUUCCCCUGCCUCUAAC